CAGCAGCCGCGGUAAUACGGAGGAUGCGAGCGUUAUCCGGAUUUAUUGGGUUUAAAGGGUGCGUAGGCGGGGAUUUAAGUCAGCGGUGAAAGUUUGAGGCUCAACCUUAAAAUUGCCGUUGAAACUGGGUUUCUUGAGUGUAUUUGAAGUAGGCGGAAUUCGUUGUGUAGCGGUGAAAUGCAUAGAUAUAACGAAGAACUCCAAUUGCGCAGGCAGCUUACUAAACUACAACUGACGCUGAAGCACGAAAGCGUGGGUAUCAAACAGGAUUAGAUACCCUGGUAGUCCACGCAGUAAACGAUGAUUACUAGCUGUUUGUGAUAUUACAAUAAGUGGCUAAGCGAAAGCGAUAAGUAAUCCACCUGGGGAGUACGCCGGCAACGGUGAAACUCAAAGGAAUUGAC
rnacentral:rRNA from 1 species